UGGGCGCAAGCCUGAUCCAGCCAUGCCGUGUGGGUGAAGAAGGCCUUCGGGUUGUAAAGCCCUUUUGUUGGGAAAGAAAAGCAGCCGGCCAAUACCCGGUUGUUCUGACGGUACCCAAAGAAUAAGCACCGGCUAACUACGUGCCAGCAGCCGCGGUGAUACGUAGGGUGGCGAGCGUUGUCCGGAAUUAUUGGGCGUAAAGGGCUUGUAGGCGGUCCGUCACGUCGGAAGUGAAAACUCAGGGCUUAACCCUGAGCCUGCUUUCGAUACGGGCAGACUGGAGGGAUGUAGGGGAGAACGGAAUUCCUGGUGGAGCGGUGGAAUGCGCAGAUAUCAGGAGGAACACCAGUGGCGAAGGCGGUUCUCUGGACAUUUCCUUACGCUGAGAAGCGAAAGCGUGGGGAGCAAACA
rnacentral:rRNA from 1 species